CUGCUCAGGACGACCAAAUUGAUAUCUCAGCAUUUGAUUGGCCUGGUGCCCAGAAGCACCAUGGGAAAGAAUUUGAAGACUCUUGGCGGUUGAGAUUCAGACCUUGACGGUUGUAACUGAUGGAUUGGGCUGGGGCACUGCUGAUGAACAUCACAUUCCUGAGAGAAAAAUCACCCAGAGUAAGCUGUUGUGCAUGAUAGACUAGACUCAGCAGCAAGGAGUGUUCCUGGAAAAAUGUGGUGUUUCCAAGCACAGACAUUUGAAUCCAUCUGGACCCCAUGCCUUGAGAGGGCUCUGUGCCUUGUGAAUGAGAGGAUUUUGAAAUAAAACUGAAAAACAAAACAAAUGUCAUUUGGGGUCCCAGCCGUUGAGAGAGUGGGGCACUAGAAGGGAAAAUGUUUCCCUGUUGGAUGGAGAGAGGUGGUAGGACCGGAGAUUAAGAGGCAGGUGAUGAGGAAAUACAGACACGGGUGAGAACAGAUAAAGCAGAGUCAUUGAGGUCAGGAGUGGGUCAGUGCUCCCCCAUGGGGCUCUGAGUUGGUGCUGUGCAUCGCAUUAUCAGGCACUGCUCUGAGGGCUGUGGGGAUUUUUCAGAAUCAAGAGAAGGUUCUUAAUUUUAAGGAGAGAAUAACCCAUGUGAAAGGAUGGGGCACGAUGACCAACAAUACAGGGCAGUGACAUUUUUAAAUAGUACCAAUAAUAAGAGCACUAGCGAUUUAGAGGAGAAAGGGUUUCUGGGAAGGCGAUUAGAGGAGGCUCAGAGGGACCUUAAUAGAAAAGCCUUCAAAUAGAGAGCACAUGUAGGUAGUUGGAGGCAGAAGUGUUGGGGGCAAGAAACAUUUCUAAGAGCUGAGAUGUGCCUUGAUUCUGUCAGCACCUUCGGGCAUCUUUUGGUAUCCCACCUAUUAUAAUCAUUGUGCUUACUUUUGGUUUUUCAGUGUCUUCUCCAGCUUUCUAGAAGUCAUUAUGAGGGGCCUUGACUAACUAGAGAGACUCAUACAGAAACCUCUGCCUCCAUCACAGCUACUUCAUUGCCGUGUUCGUCCACGAUGGCUACCCUUGAGGAGGAUCGUCACUGGGCCUCAGAGAAGAGAGAAAACCAACAGGCCAUCAACCACAAAUUGAAAAUUGAAGUUGACAGGCAAGUCUAAAUAUUUGGACUAAGAGUUGUAUCUAGUGUGAAGUUAUAUUCUUAAAGGGAAUGAACUAUAUCUGAGCAAGACAUGAGUUAGUGAACGAAUUUUGUCAAUGUGGCUAUUUGUAUAAUUCACAUGAGUGUAUAUUAUAAUACUUCAGAUGAAGACCUUUACCCUGGUUCACUUUUUAAAAAUGUAUUUAUUUUUAUUGCAGUAACAUCAGUUUAUAACAUUGUAUAAAUUUCAGAUGUACCUCAUUAUAUAUUUCGAUUUAUGUGUAGAUUACAUGUUCACCACACAAAGACUAAUUAUAAUCCAUCACCACACACAUGUGCCUAGUCACCCCUUUUGCCCUCCUCCCUCCCCUCUUCCCCUCUGGUAACCACCAAUCCAAUCUCUGUUUCUAUGUGUUUGUUUGUUGUUGUUUUUAUCUCCUACUUAGGAGUGAGAUCAUAUGGUAUUGACUUUCUCCCUCUGACUUAUUUCACUUAGUAUAAUACCCUUGAGGUCCAUCCAUGUUGUCACAAAUGGCUGAAUUUCAUCGUUUUUUUAUGGCUGAGUAGUAUUCCAUUGUGUAUAUAUACCACAACCUCUUUAUCCAUUCCUCCCUUGAUGGGCACCUAGGUUGCUUCCAAGUCUCGGCUAUUGUGAAAAAUGCUGUGAUGAACAUAGGGGUGCGUGUAUCAUUAUGCAUUUGUGUUUUAAUGUUCUUUGGAUAAAUACUCAGCAGUGGAAUAGCUGGAUCGUAUGGUAGAUGUAUUCUUAAUUUUUUGAGGAAUCUCUGUACUGUUUUCCAUAGUGGCUGUACCAGUUUGCACUCCCACUAGCAGUGUCUGAGGCUUCCCUUCUCCCCACAUCCUCUCCAACACUUGUUGUUUCCUGUCUUGUUGAUAUCUCAUUGUAGUUUUAUUUUGCAUUUCCCUGAUAGUUAAUGAUGUUGAACAUCUUUUCAUGUGCCUGUUGGCCAUCUGUGUGUCUUCUUUGGAGAAAUGUCUGUUCAGAUCUUUUGCUCAUUUUUAAAUUGGGUUCUUAGUUUUUUUGUUGUUGUGAUGUAUGAGUUCUUUGUGUAUUUUAGAUAUUAACCCCUUAUCAGAUGUAUGGAUUGUGAAUAUCUUCUCCCAAUUGUUAGGUUGUCUUUUCAUCUUGUUGAUGGUUUCCUUUGCUGUGCAGAAGAUCGUUAGUUUGAUGUAGUCCCAUUUGUUUAUUUUUCCUAUUGUUUCCCUUGCCGAGUCAGACAUGGUACUUGAAAAUAUGCUGCUGAGACCAGCGUUGAAGAGUGUACUGCCUAUGUUUUCUUCUAGAAGUUUAAUGGUUUCAAGUCUUACAUUCAAGUCUUUAAUCCACUUUGAGUUAAUUUUUGUGUAUGGUGUAAGAUAAUAGUCUACUGUCAUUCUUUUGCAUGUGGCUGUCCAGUUUUCCCAACACCAUUUACUGAAGAGACUUUCCUUUCUUCAUUGUAUGUUCUUGGCUCCCUUGUCGAAGACUAUCUGUCCACAGCCUGGUUCACUUUUGGCUCUAUCUGAUAUAACACAAGUUUCCUGUAAAACGGGAGAUAUAAAAUAAUUACAAGGUUAAGAGAAUUUUCAUACAGGUGCUCAUCCUCAUGAUGCCCUAUUGGAAAAUGAAGAUCAAUAUAACAUGGAUUGGAGAAUUAAUGUUCUAGUCAGGCUAAUUCUAUUUUUUGCUCAACCUAGGAGAGAAGAGUUUAUUAUGCAAUGAACAUAAUUUUCUCCCAGUGCCACCAUUGCCUUUUGGUCGAAUAUAGCCAGCACCAAGUGAACGGGUUAGAAGUAAGGGGUCACAUAUAUAGCUUGACAGAUAUUCUGUUCCCAGGCAGCCUGCAUGGGUGGCCAUACUGUCCUGCACUGAGAGUCUAUUUUCUCCUUGAAUUAUCCAGGCCAGCUCUCAGUCGCAUGAACUCACCAAUUCAUUGCCAACCUUUCAAUUCCCUUGAAGUGACAAGUGAAUAAAAACCUGCCCUCUAUUGCAAACCUCUAACUUCCAACAGCACCCCUUUCUGGCCUGUGUUUUUGAAUCUGGAGUUUUAGCAACCAAAUACCAGAGAGGUUGUGAGGUGGGUAUUUUUGAGUUUUGGCUUCAUGUUUGAUCCAAGAUGUCAUAUUUGAAAGGAAAGUGAUUCUUUGGUGUUAUCUUUUUUUCCGAGGAAGAUUAGCCCUGAGCUAACUGCUACCAAUACUCUUUUUGCUGAGGAAGACUGGCCCUGAGCUAACAUCCAUGCCCAUCUUCCUCUAUUUUAUCUGUGGGAUGCCUACCACAGCAUGGCUUGCCAAGCAGUGCCAUGUCCACACUGGGGAUCCAAACCGCCGAACCCUGGGCCGCCAAAGCGGAACAUGUGCACUUAACUCCUGCACCAUGGGGCGGGCCCUGGGGUUAUUUUUUUAAACAAAAAUACCGUUACUGCCAUCCCAACUCUACCACUCCCUACUAAAGAUCAGCCCUAAACAAGUUUCUGGGGUUUCUGGGCCACUGGUUUAUCAAAAAUACUGCCAAUAUUAAACUUUAAGUUAUAUUAAUUUACUUAAUACUCAUUUCUUUCUCUUCUUUUCUUUCUUUCUUCACCCCCACCCCCUUCCUUCUUUCUUUCCUCCCUCCCUUUGAGGGGAUGUUUGCUUUUCCACUCUAGCUGCUCCAUAGCUGUUCCGUGGACAUAACAUCCCACUCCCACCUGACAACCCUUCAACCGUUUACAUCCAUUGCCUGAUGGUCAGAUGGGCAGCCCCAGGGGUGAGAGAGGAAUUAAGCCCUUCUCCCUGCUACAUCCCCUUCCCAGGGAGAUCAUCAAGAGCCCAUGGAGAACUGUGUCCUGGGAAUAACCUUGGUCUUUCUGAAAAUCGUGAGGUUCAAGGAGUUUAAGAGCGAGAAUUACUGAUUUCUUUGGAACUCUUUUUACCUCAGGGCUCUUAGGAGAUGGACUGAGUGAAAUGUGUGAUUGCGUCUGCAAGCACAAGGGGCCUCAGCCACAGCUCCGAGCUCUGCAGACAGCCACUGGCCCUGGGGAUUGGUGGUUAUUAAAAUGUUAAGUGAAAUAGGCAGUUUAACGCUGUUCACUUACAUAAAGAGGAAAAGGUACGGAUAAAAGAUCUGAAGUAACCUGAAGUAUUCACAGCUGCACGUGAGACUAUGCUCGAUAGUUUUCUUCUUUUUUUUUGCACCUCCCAACCCACAAAGAGCAUGUGUUAUUUUUAUCAAUAGAGGGUUAAAAAAAAAUUCCUUUAAGAAGAAAUAAUGUAGGGGUAGAAAUUGUGCUUCUUUAAUUUCAUUGUUGUGGUUAAUGACUUCUACAGUGGACACCUGCCCUGGUACCUGGGUCAUGAUUUACUCUCGUGGCAAUCCGGGGUCUGUUCUAGUGCUCCUCGGGCAGCAGAAAUACUGGUGUCUCAGAGUCCCCGAAAUGAACUUCUAACCUAUGGAGUCCUGUGGGCUUGUCAUGGUAAUCAAGCUGUGCUGCCAGCCUGCUAAUUUUAAUAACAGAAUCAUAAAGUUUUAGACCUAGAAAGAUCUGGAGGAAUCAUCUGUUUUCUCAUUUUUGUGGCAGAACCAGGAUAAGAGUUUGAUAGUAAGAUCUACCUUUAAGUAAGCAGCUACUAUGUGCCAUGAAUGGUACUAGGUACUUUAUGUAGAUUAAUCUUUAAUCACACUGUCAAGGUAAGUCUUAGCCCUACCCUGAUUUUAUAGAGGAAGUAGGGGUAUAGAGACUAAAAAGCUUUUCCUAAAUCAUCCAACUAGAGUCCAAGGUAGGUUUUGCAUUCGUGUUUGUCUGGUUCUAAAAAGAGCUCUUGCCAUGCCUCUUUAUUUCCAGCAUGGGCUACUUGACUUCCAGUCUUAGAGUUUUAUCUCUUGUCUCCACGUUUAAAACUCCGGUCUCUUUUAACCUGUGUGAGUUGAGCUGACCCACACCCAAAUUACAUUCCUCUUGCUGGGACAGCCUGUGUUGUCAUGAGGAAGCCCACCCCAAGUUUAAAGGCCCACACUAGCUCUUCCUCAAAGCAAUGGGCCUGCAGGCCUUCAGCCUGAGCUCACGCUUGCUUUUAUUUACUCACCCGCUCCCCUUUCAUUGUGAGUGUUCCCAUUCAUAGGCUGUGGGAAUGCCCAGCCAGAGUGAGGGUGUGGUGACCAGGAGAUUGUCACCAGCGCCCUAGCCAGAGGAGGGGAGCUGGGAGGAGGCCAUAGCACCCUGAGGCCUCAGGCUGCCACCUCCAGGUCCUUCUGCCCUCCUGCUGUGGGAAGGCUGGGCUGCCCCAGUCAUUGGGAAAAAGAGAACUGAGGGCUUUCUGAGGUGAAGGUGGAGGGGAGGCAGGGCAGAGAGGAUCUUCUCUUCAGAGGGAAGUAGAGACUCCUAAAUCACGAAGUGGCUUGAUUUAGAGUAAGCUCUCCACGUUUCAGCCUGGCCGGAGGCGUUCUGGUUAAUCAGAUAUUCUUAACAAGGGUGAUGGUGUGUGCUAUACGUGGCUGAACAUUUUUCCAGGGAUUAUAACACAGAAAAGUAUGGGUAAAACCCAAACUGCGCUAAAUAGAAUUAAAUCUUUCUUUGAUGAUUCAUAAGGCCUUUAGGAUCCUGUGGUGCCUCAGGGUCACCAUUAAUUUUAUCAUCAUCCUUGAUGAGGCAGGCAGCUGAAUGAAAAUAUCAGAUUUAAAGGUAUAGGCCUCACUCCCACUCUGCCUACCUGGGUGGCCUUGGGCAGGUGGCUUGACCUCUUGAGCUUCAGAGUUUCCUCCCAAAUAGGGGUGACAACAUUUCGUCCUAGGGCUGUCACAGUAGUAAACUAUGUGCAUUGUGGGCCGGCCCAGUGGCGCAGUGGUUAAGUGCGCACGUUCCGUUUCUCGGAGGCCUGGGGUUCGCCGGUUCGGAUCUCGGGUGCGGACAUGGCACCACUUGGCAAGCGGUGCUGUGGCAGGCGUCCCACUUAUAAAGUAGAGGAAGGUGGGUACGGAUGUUAGCUCAGGGCCAGUCUUCCUCAGCAAAAAGAGGAGGAUUGGCAGUAGUUAACUCAGGGCUAAUCUUCCUCAAAGAAAAGAAAACUAUGUGCAUAAAGAAUGUUGUUAUUAUCAUUACUAUUAAGCUACCAGGACAUCACAUUGCUGGCUGAUAGAGAAUUCUAUUAUAUGGUUUUUCCUAACCUGCUUCAAAGUAAUCUACUCUGGUCCCCUUUUAAGGAAAACAUGGCUUGUCCAGCAGCAGGGACUGCUGAGAUGCAAUCUUUAGUCAAGGGCCAGUAAGAGCCUUUAAACAAUGUUGUUGUUUUUAAACUGCAAAAGUGGUACAUGCUUUUUGUGAAAAAAUUUGAAUAUGACAGAAGAACAUAUUGAAAAACAAAAAUCCUCUUCUAUCCUCGUUGUCUCAAUCUUGCCCGGAGGUAAGCCUUAUGUAGUUCAGCAUGUGUGUGUGUGUGUGUGUGUGUUAGAUGGAAAUUAUACGAUUCGUUACUAUUCUUUGGCUUUGCUUUUUUUUCACUUAGCAUAUCUUGGGGAUCUUUUCAUUCUUUUUUCCAGCUGCAUCUGCAUAGUUUUUCAUAAGAAGGACGAGUUGUAUCUCGUGGAGCCAUUGCCCUGUUGGUGAACAUUAAGUUAUUUCUAGUUUUUCUGUGGCAAACAAUGCUGCAAUGAGCAUAGGAUGAAUAGUUAUGUCCUAACUCGGCAGUAGCCACUCAGUAACUUUUUAUUACCUCAGGUUGCUUCAACCCGUGCUUCCUAAAACACUCUCCUCUUGAUCUCGUUGCCUACCUAAAGAGAUAGCAUCAGACAUGAACAAAGCAGAUGACUUUAACAGUUUGGUGAUUUCUAAUAAACUUAUACACUUACGCUACUACCACCACAACCCCAUUUUAGGGCAUUUUCAUUACCCCAAAAAGUUCUUUUUUGUACCUCUUUGAGGUUAAUUUCCAUACUCACCCCAGCUGUAAGCAACCACUGAUAGGAUUUCUGUCUCUAAUGUUUGUCUUAUCUGGAAAUUUCGUAUAAAUGGAAUCAUAAUAUGUAGUCUUCUGUGUCUGGUUUUUGUUUUUGUUUUUGGUGAGGAAGAUUGGCUCUGAGUUAACAUUUGUGCCAAUCCUUCUCUACUUUGUAUGUGGGAUGCCACCACAGCGUGGCUUCAUGAGCCUUGUGUAGGUCUGUGCUGGGGAUCCAAACCAGGGUCGCAGAAGCAAAGCAUGUAAACUUAACCACUACCGCACUGGGCCAGCCCGUGUCUGGAUUCUUUUACUUGGCAAAACGGUUUUUGAUACUCAAUCUUGUUGUCGGAUGUCUCGGUUAUUGCUGAAUAGUGCUCCAUUGCAUAGGGUACCACAAUUUGUUCACUCAUUUGGAUUGUUUCCAGUUUGGGACUAUUUUCCGUUUUUGCCUGUUAUGAAUAACGAUACCAUGAACGUUUGUAUACAAGUUUGUGUAUGGACAUAUAUUUUUAUUUCUCUUGACUAGAUACCUGGAAGUGGAAUUACUGGGUCUUAUGAUUAGUACAUGUUUAACUUUUUAAAAAUAUUGCCAAAUUAUUUUCCAAAGUGGUUGCUCCGUUUUACAUUCCUACCAGCCACGGAUGAGGGUUCUGGUUUCUCCACAUUCUCACCAACGCUUGGUACUGUCAGCCUUUUGGAUUAUAGCCGUUCUAGUGGUUGUGUAGUGGUACCACACGGUCAUUUUAAUUUCCAUUUUCCUAAUAACUGGUGAUGUUGGGCACUUUUUCAUGUGUUUAUUAGCCAUUCACCUAUGUUCUAUGUUAAAGUGCUUAAUCACAUCUUCUGUCCAUUUUUUACUCGGCUAUUUGCUUUUUGUUAUUGUAAUAGUUCUUUGUAUAUUCUGAAUUCAACCCUUUUAUGUAUAUGUACAUAUACUUACACAUAUGAUUUCUAUAUAGAUAUGUGAUUUACAGAUAUUUUCUCCCAACCCGUGGCUUGUGUUUUCUUUUUCUUAGUGGGGGCUUUUGAAAAACAAAAUAAUUUUGGCAAAGUCUAAAUUUGUCAAUUUUUCUAUUAUGGAUCAUGCCUUGGGUGUCAUAUACAAGAAAUCUUUGCUUCAUUCAAAGUCACACGGAUUUUCUCUUACGUUUUCUUCUAGAAGUUUUAUAAAAAUAACGUGAUUUUUUAAGUUAUUUCAAAGCCUGGAGGAAGCUGACGUUCUCUAGAGCCCCUUUCUAGGCUGAAGUCAGCGGUGCGUGGAGUUAAAUCUACAGAGCAGCCCCUUCCCACCUUUGCAGGGUAGUUUUCACAGGUUGGCUACAACAUGUAUCUAUAGAAUCAACUAGCUGGCCUUUAUUACUGACUCUUUAGAAUUUUUUUCUCAAGGAAAAGUGUGAAGUCAUGUUCAUUUAGAAGGAUCAGGAAAGGUUCCCUUUGAGAUCAUAUGUAUUCCUAUAUCAUGAAUACAAUGUUCUCAGUGUGCUGUAUCAUUUAGCAAGUGGAGGGCAUUAUCUCUCAAAACAAAAGCAGUACAGAGUCAUUUCCUAUUACUAAUGGCUUUGAUGUGGGCGUAGUUCCACUUGCGUCUCUCUGUUUGUAGUAACUCACUUUAUUUCUCUAGGUAAUGAGACUAUUACUUCUUAGCCCUUAGCAAAGUUCUUUCACCGUGUGUGUGUGUGUGUGUGUGUGUGUGUGUCUGUGUGUCUGUGUGUCUGUGUGUGUGUGUGUGUGUUUGUUGAAGAGCUACAUUGCUCUUGCUUAUCGGGAGAACUUGAAUCCUGUUUCUCUCAAACCUUCAUUGAUCAUAGCGUAUAUACGUCCUCUCCCCUUAUUUGAAACUCUUAGGGCCAGAUAUAUUUAAAAAUGCACAGGUCUUUUUAAAUUUUAGAAAGAUAGUACAGUGAAUAUUCUGGAUGAAUAUAAUUUCUCCAGGGAGUCAAGAUGACCAGUAUUUUAUAAGAUAAACAUGUUAAUAUUAAAAAAUACACUAAAUAUUUACAAUAUAUGAGAUAAAUAAAGACUAUAAACAGCUUCGAUCAGUUCAGAUCAGGUUUUCCACUAUUUGAAUUCAGGUCUGGUUAGUUUUGGGUGCAAAUGAGUUUUAAAACCUUUCCAUUUAAAGCGUUUUUGGAUUUCUGAAUUGAGAGGAAGGGUUAGUGGAUCUGCAUUGCUUUUCCUGGGAACCCACUACACCAGCCGCUUAGUGUGGUGUGUCACGUUCCUUAGCCUCUGGACCACUGCUGGGCCUGCGUUUGGAGCUGCUGUGAGCGGCUGUCACAUUCCAGGAGACACAGGGAAGAGUUUUCUGAGGGAACAUUUUAAAGAGAGAGAAUUUCCACUGGAUGCAAGGCUGCGGUUUAGAUUGUUUUCUAGGGGGAAGGUAUUUUGCCAUUCAAAUCAAUAUAUGCUUUAAAAGAUACUUCCCCGUCUCCCACUCAUUCUAGUGCAUGACUUCUAUCUGCUUCACGGCACAGGAUCUCAGAGGCAGAUGCCCAAUAAAGAUCUGUUAUCUAGGGGGCCUGGAUUCCUGGCUUGGGGUGAAAUUAUACCCUUUAAAAUGGAAUUGAGUCCAGCUGUGAUAUAUUUGGAUCCCAUGGAGAGCUAGAUUAUGUGGUCAAUGGCAGCUCAGAAGCACGUUUUAAUCACCAAGCGCUAUGGUGCUGACCUGACAGCGCUGGUGGAAUCACCGGCCCGUGUUCCUGGGGAAAAUGAGAGCCUCCUGGAUGCCCACAACUUCUUUCCUCACGAAUAGGAAGCAUCUUUGCAAUUCAUCUAAUGGCACUUUAAGAAAAAAUUACAGAAGCAGUACAUAUUCGUCACAAAAUAUUUACACAAGGAAAUGAUACACAAGAGUUUACAUGAGUGUAUAAAGUAAAAAUGUAAAAGCCCCUCAGUGCUAGUCUCCCACUCUGUUCCUGCCACCCUCUUCAAGAGGUCACCACUGAUAGUAAUUUGGUGUGUGUCAUUCUAGGCCUUUUUCUUUCUAGCAAUGUAUGUACACACAUGAACACACUUGCGCAGUCACAUUUAUAAGGAAAUGGACCAUACUCUUCAAAUUGUUGUCUCACUUCCUUUUCUUAACAAUCAGAGACAUCUUUCUUUGACACUACCAUCCUUUCGAUGGCUGCAGAGCAUUACCAAGAUGUAUAUAAUCAGUCCCCAGGUGAAAAAUGUUUAGGUAAUUUUGAGGGGUAUUACCAACUACAAUGACAUUUCUUAUUCAUAUAUUUUUAUGCAUAUGUCUUUUUUUUAGAGUAGAUAGUAAAAUUUUCAUGGUUUUUGGUGUAUCUCCAAGGUCUUACUCCCAAUGAUUGUAUUUUAGUUUGAAUUUCAGCACUGUCUCCUGUCCUUCUUUCUUUCUGUUUUUUUUUUUUUUUUUUUUUUUUGCUGAGGAAGAUUAGCCCUGAGGUAGCAUCUGUGCCACUGCUCCUCCAUUUUAUAUGUGGGUCACCGCCACAGCAUGGCUGAAGAGUGGUGUAGGUCUGUGCCUGGGAUCUGAACCUUGACCUGAGCCCUUGAAGCAGAGCACACCAAACUCAAACACUGUGCCACGGGGUCGGCCUUCUUUCCUUCUAUUGUUUAUCUAGAAAGCCACUGGGGCACUGGUAGUCCUUGUUGGACACAUGAAUGUCUCCUGGGGUGAGGAUGGGGGAUGUACAAAGAGGAGGAUUAUUUAUGUUUACAACUUUUGACAUUUUUGAUGUUGCCUGCUAGAUAUUAACUAAAUGUCAUGUUCUUUUAUUUCCUCCCAUGUAUAGGACAGGUCAGAUAAGAUAAGAGCUUGCCUUCAGCUGUGUAAAUUGUUACAGUCUUUCUGGAGAGCUCUUGACAUUAUCUACUAAAAUUUAGAAUGUUCGUACUUUUGAUCCUGCAAUUCUACUGCUACAUGGCACUAUGGAAAUCACUUUGUUUUGAGAGCUGAAAGAUUUUGUUCAGAUAUGAAGCUCAGCAGCUUUUAGGAGUCUUUAAAUAGUUCCAGCAACGGAAUGAAUGUCUGCGUUGCCCUCAAAAUUCAUACCUUGAAAUCCUAAUUCCCAACGUGAUGGUUUUAGAAGGUGGGGCCUUCGGGAGGUACUUAGAUCAUGAUCCCUCAUGAAUGGGAUUAGUGCCCUUGUAAAAGACACCCCUGAGAGUUCUCUCACUCUCUUUCUGCCUUGUGAGGAUACAACGAGAAGUCAGCUGUCUGCAACCUGGAAGAGGGUCCACACCAGAAUCCGACCAUGCUGGCACCCUGAUCUUAGACUUCCAGCCUCCUGAACUGGGUCUCAGAGAAUAUCAGCUGCUGGCAGACGGGAAUGGAAUUUGACUCAACAGACAUUUAUUGCACUCCAGCUGUGUGCCAAGACAUGCCCUGAAAUCUGGGAGUGUGCAACACAGGGGAAGAAAAGACUCAUUGCCAAGGAGCUUUCGCCUAGGAGGGUCUCCAUGAGCCGCACGAGGAACAGGUGGAGGAGAAACUCAGAGCUGUUACAUUCAGCGUCAAGAUGCAGAACUAUAGCUUCCUGAUUAUCACUAAUGCUGGGUAGCGCUAGCAUCAGAAAACCGAGUUCCCGGAGAGGUCUGCUCAGCCAAGUCGGUGCAGGAAAGGACAAUGAUGAAGUGAAUAAUGGGGCUACUAAAACAGUUCUGGACACCAGGAGUGAAAAUCAGACAGCGGACAGAAAUCAAGGUGUCAGCAGGCUGGACUCCCCCUGGAGUCUCUGAGGGUGAAUGCAUUCCUUGCCUCUUCCAGCGUCUGAUGGCUACCAGGAUUCCUUCGCUUGUGGCUAUAUCACUCCUAUUUUCAAGGAGGGAGAAGAGGACCAUGAUUCCGGCUAACAAAUAAGUUGAUUGAUACAAGCAUGGGUUCACAUAGUUCAGUUGGAGCAAAAAUUGGAAAGAGUCAUGACGGUCAAGUAUGGGUAAGAUUUCUAGUAAUUUUUACAGUAAUGACCAAAAUUUAUUUUUUACCUUGUCAAUAAAUUUCCAUUUAGAUUUUGUUUCAUACAUACUCAAGAACAGCUUGGGACAUUUUAAGAUUUUUAUCCAAAGGGGAAAUUAAAAGUAACAAGUUCAUUUUGUGAGUCAGUGUACAUUGAGAAUAGGGUACAGCUCUGGUGUCCCAUUUACUAGUCCCAUGCUGUGCCAUUAAAUUAUACAUUGAACCUAUUGAAUUAAUAUAUGUUAUUUAUUGAAAGUCAUCUAGUGUGAUUUGAUUUAAACUCUAAACCACAUCAGGACAUCCAGGGAUUCAGCUAAGUCAAUCUAAAUUCCACUCAAUUUCAGGCAUUUGGUGGUAUGGGCAAACGAUCAAUUGGUUUGAUGGUCUUUUUCAUUUGAUUUCUGAGACCAGAUGUUUAUCAUCAUAUAGAGAUGAUAUAUAUAGAGAGAGAUCUGUGAAGUGAUUUGAUAGGAUCAGGUAAACAGAAGUUGAAAUUUUAUCCGAAGACUGGAAUUUGGGGGUAACAAUAUUUUCAACUUCUUUGUGACCAGUUAUGCUGAUACCAUGGAGAAUCAAGCUGAUACUCUUAGCGUAGGUAGCAGAAUAAUCCGCUUUUUUCCACUGGACCAUCUGGAGAAAGCUAUUGGUUGCAUGGCGUUAUAUAUGAUGUACAAGAGACUAAUGGAAAUGCAAACAUUUCAUUAAAGUUUGAGAUCUCAGAGCUCCUCAGGCCACCAUCGUCCUCAGAUAUUGCUUUCUCAAUGGCUUUGGGCCAAUUACUUGGCCUCUCCACCUCAGCUUCUCAAUUGGUGAAAUGGGAACUAUUACAGUGUGAUUAAUUUAUCUCCUAAGGGGGUUGUUUAUAUUAAUUAACUGCUGUUAAGAGCUUUGAAGAUGAAAAGUGCUAACUGCUUAUGCCAUGAUUAGCCAUGGAACAGUGGAAUAUGAUAAGUGCUUCACUAGAUAAAUGACUAAACCUGAUACACACAAACUGUGAAAUCUGUGGGAGGAGUUAAGAGACCCAGGGCAACAAGACAG
ensembl:lncRNA